rnacentral:rRNA from 1 species
UACGUAGGCAGCAAGCGUUGUUCGGAGUUACUGGGCGUAAAGGGUGCGUAGGCGGCCUUAUAAGUAUGGUGUGAAAUCUCCCGGCUUAACUGGGAGGGUGCGCUAUAGACUGUGGGGCUAGAGUGUGGGAGAGGAAAGUGGAAUUCCUGGUGUAGCGGUGAAAUGCGCAGAUAUCAGGAGGAACACCAAUGGCGAAGGCAGCUCGCUGGGACGUGACUGACGCUGAGACGCGAAAGCGUGGGGAGCAAACAGG